AUAUGAAUCACUUGGAGAUCUUACUGAGGCACAGACUAUUAUGCAACAGGUCUAGGUGGGGCCUGAGAAUUUGCAUUUUUAAGAAGCUCUCAGGAUGCCAAU
rnacentral:pre_miRNA from 1 species